GCUUGUCAGCAGCUAAACGUCUUUCAAUCAGUUUUACUUGGAAGUAUUCUCUACUUAAGAAGAAUGGGACCUUUUCAGACAUAUGAGGUGAAGGAAAAAGGAAGCAUGCGCAGCCGUAUCCCUCGAUUUGUCCUCCACCCCUUGCGUACUAAAGCAAAGGAGUCAUCGGGGCCUAACAUGCCAUUGUCAGAAGAGGAGAGCAAGGAUUUUGACAUUAGCUCCCAGCACUCGAAAAGAACCAUCAGUCCCA